rnacentral:lncRNA from 1 species
AGUCGUGAUACUAGCGGAUACGGAAGUGUCUCAAAAAUUUAAAGAGAAUUGCUUAUUGGGCCUGUUUCAGACAGUUUAGGUUCGUUUACAAAUGUUGGGCUUUCGUGUUGUGUUUUGUUGUGUUUACUGUUUAGUGUAUGUUUCAAUUUGAGCUUCUUCUUUUACAAUCGAGUAAAACAUGGUUAAAAAAAAAAAAAAAAAAAGGAACGACGAUUUAUUUUCUCCUCGGAAAUUUUGUAUAUGACUAGUUCCACCCAAACUUUCUGCCUCUCUUUGUAUCUCCGUAAAAAAAAAAUGUUCCAUAAUUAUUUUUCCAUAAAUCUAAAGUUCGAAACUUAUUUCUCUAUAGAACUAAAGUUCGAAACUGAUUUACACAUCGAGCUGGAUUAUUGUUGGUUUAUUGUAGACCAAUCUCAUCUUAACAAAAAAAAAA